rnacentral:rRNA from 6 species
GAAAUGCGAUACGUAGUGUGAAUUGCAGAAUUCCGCGAAUCAUCGAGUCUUUGAACGCAAGUUGCGCCCGAGGCUUGACCAAGGGCAUCUCUGCCAGAGCGUCAC